CUGGUGUUCUAUCUGCUGCCUGGGGACGAGCCCAGGGCGAGGGCUCUGCCCUGGGACGCUCCAUUAUCUCCCCGUUCAUUACAAGGCCCUGCCCAGCCUCACACUUGCGGCUCAGCUCUACACGACUUCGGCUCUGGAGAUAAUCAUCCCCCAUCCCACACACUUGUGGUGGUAGAAGUCAGACGGAGGCAACUUGCUGGGCAAUCAUCACGAGAACAGAUGUCUUUAUCUGCCCUAGAGAUACCAACUCCAACUGCCCAAGACAUCAGCUACUGCAAAAAUUCUCUCCAAGAGAACCAACAAAAAGGCUAGCUACAGAUCAAAUGGUCCAUUGGAUCAGGUCACCAGUGAUGCUUACCAUGAUGUUGCAUACAACACAAACACACUUGCAGCUCGAGAUAUUGCACUACGAGCUUCCUUGGAAAUGUUUACUCCAUCAGGAAGCUGGGGAAAAAGAAAUGUCAUUUUAUCAGAUGAAAUUCAAGUCAUAUGGAUCUGGAGGCUAACAAGUCCUGUCCAGUUCAGUCAAGCCAUUCAGAGUGUUUGCAGUGAACAAUAAAUGUGAGAAAAUGAA